rnacentral:rRNA from 1 species
CUUUAUCUCACUCACCCUGCAUACAUAUAGGGGGUGGGGCAGUCCCACCCCCCCCCCCUUUCUAAUUCACAGCAAGACGAAGACCCAUCCUCCCCCCCCUCAAAUAUUAUCAGGGGGGGGGAAGGAUACCCUCUCUUCCCCAUAAAAAAUAUAGAGAUGGGGGGGGGGGAGAACACAGCCCCCUCGCCCUGAACAUAUAGAAAUUGGCGGGGGAGCACCACGGGCAGCUCACCGGAUAGGACAGCGGAAUGAUAGCCGGGGCUGAAGACCUUGCUUGACCAGCUGAGAGGAGGUGCAUGGCCGUCGUCAGUUCGUACUGUGAAGCAUCCUGUUUAGUCAGGCAACGAGCGAGACCCACGCCAACAGUUGCUAGCAUGUUCUCCGGAAUGAUGAGGACACUGUUGGGACCGCCUCUGCUAAAGAGGAGGAAGGAAUGGGCAACGGUAGGUCAGCAUGCCCCGAAUUAUCCGGGCUACACGCGGGCUACAAUGGUCAGGACAAUGGGAAACGGCACUGAAAAGUGUAGUCAAUCUCCUAAACCUGUCCCAAGUUCGGAAUGAGAGGGGGACUCGCCCACACGAAGCCGCUGCACGUAGCAAGGUAGUAGGAAGCGCGGGGAGCCCAAA